UAAUAUUUUUUUUACUAUAUUUAUUAAUAGUUUUAGUUUAGUUUAGAGGAUGGCGCAGUCAAGAUGGACCAAUAGGACCCAUAUUAUCCCAAAAUGAUACAUUAUGUUAUCAUUAUAUAGAUGU